rnacentral:rRNA from 1 species
UACGGAGGGUGCAAGCGUUAUCCGGAUUCACUGGGUUUAAAGGGUGCGUAGGUGGGUGUGUAAGUCAGUGGUGAAAUCUCCGGGCUUAACCCGGAAACUGCCAUUGAUACUAUAUAUCUUGAAUACCAUGGAGGUGAGCGGAAUAUGUCAUGUAGCGGUGAAAUGCUUAGAUAUGACAUAGAACACCAAUUGCGAAGGCAGCUCACUACGCGGUUAUUGACACUGAGGCACGAAAGCGUGGGGAU